AGCAGCCGCGGUAAUUCCAGCUCCAAUAGCGUAUAUUAAAGUUGUUGCAAGUUAAAAAGCUCGUAGUUGAACUUCGGGGUUUACCCAUUGGUCAGGCUUAAUUGUCUGUACUGGUGAGAUAAAUCUCUACCUUCUGAGGAACUUUCAUGCCAUUUAGUUGGUGUGAUAGGAAAUCAGGACUGUUACCUUGAAAAAUUAGAGUGUUUAAAGCAGGCUAACGUCUGAAUACAUUAGCAUGGAAUAAUGAAAUAGGACGGAUUGGUUCUAUUUCGUUGGUUUCUAGGAUCACCGUAAUGAUUAAUAGGGAUAGUUGGGGGCAUUAGUAUUCAAUUGUCAGAGGUGAAAUUCUUGGGUUUAUUGAAGACUAACUAUUGCGAAAGCAUUUGCCAAGGAUGUUUUCAUUAAUCAAGAACGAAAGUUAGGGGAUCGAAGACGAUCAGAUACCGUCGUAGUCUUAACCAUAAACUAUGCCGACUAGGGAUCGGACGAGUUAAUUUUAUAAUGACGCGUUCGGCACCUU
rnacentral:rRNA from 1 species